UCUCAAAUCACGCAAAAAAUCCAGAUUUUUUCCAAGAGAUUUCUCUACUCUUUUAAGUAGCGGACAUCUUAAAAUAUCCUGGCAGCCUUUGCUCCUUAAAUUAGACAGAAAGCUUUCAUUUUCUCACAAGUACAAAAAGAAAACUUCAAUCAAAUUUAAUUCAUCUACGAGGAAUUAAGCGAACCGGCUGAUGAGACGGGAUCCCAAAGGAAAGUAUCUUAAACACAAGCAGGGGCAGGCAGUGCCACGCUGAUGAAUAGACACAGCGGAGAAAAACCGGAGGAUGUCCUACCGUUGAGCCCAUGGGCGCACCAUAGUUCCCGACUCCUGUAGGACUGUCGAAGGAAUGUUAGGGUGAAAUUUUUCCAUUGACGAAGAAUGGAGGAGAACAAUGGGGCAAUGUCUUUCCCUUAUGGCGUACGAGCAUCGAGGCGUAUUGGAGUUGUGGAAUCUUUCAGUUUUAAUUGAAUUUUAAUUCAACUUAAACAGGAGCGACAACAAGGUGACAAUAUUCUCAAAUUGAUUUCCAACGACAGCAGGGUAGCUCCAAACUUGGCCAUUGUCUCCGGUGCAGAGAUGGGGCUUCAAUUGAAAUUGCUCCGUGAUGUUGUUCCUGGAUUAUGUGGCAGUAAUAUUUUAUGAUUGACUUCAGGAGACGCGACCCGAUUGGAAUGGGUGCGGGUAAUGAACGUAAAAAGGAGACUUUUUUAUAGGAACGGUUGAAAUGAUGUGAACCAGGAGUCUAUCCUUUUAGUUUAACUUCAAACUCGAAAAUUUUGUAAUAAUAACAGAAAACAAUGGGAAAAUUCAUUUCCCACUUCUGGAAGUAGAGCAAAAUGUACUAAGAAAUUUGAGCCGCUAUAGGUAUAUGCUUAGAGGCAGGAUAUUCACAUUUCCAGGAAGAUUUCACCAACUUAUUUUCGAUUUUGUUUUCUUUCGAAGCUAUCAUCCUUGCUGAUCAGCAUUCUCAACCCCAAUCCGCAUGUUCCCUUCCUCUACAAUAUAUCCUUGCCUUCACGCUUAGUUUACUAUUCCCUGUUCGAAACGCACAGCCCGGGGGCUACCUCGUAUUAUCCGUAUGCAUAUCAAAUAUCUUCUUGCUUAUGUCCUGGAAAUCUAUUUCUGUCAUGUUUAUUGAAGUAAGAAAAGAAACACAAGGCAAAAAGGGCAAGUUCGCGGAUGGAACCGAAACACAAGGAGAAAGGCUGAAUUCUGAAAAUUUGUUGUUCUUGGACUGAAAUUUUGUGACAUUACUUUGAAUUCUUGUUUGCGCCUUUUAUCUGAAAAUGCAUGUAUCUGUACGAGGCCUGGAAAAUAACCCAAGGAUAUGAGCAGGGUAAUAACAUCUUUGAAACGAGCUGAAAUUUAUUGGA